rnacentral:rRNA from 1 species
CGUUAGGUACUGCGGUAGGACAUUA